rnacentral:snRNA from 1 species
GGAUGUGAGGGCGAUCUGGCUGCGACAUCUGUUACCCCAUUGAUCGCCAAGGGUUGAUUCAGCUGAUCUGGCUGGCUAGGCGUGUGGCCCCUUCUUCCCUCACCGCUCCAUGUGCGUCCCUCCCGAAGCUGCAAGUUAGGUCGAAGAGGAUGGCCUUCCCAGAAUACACAUGGACCGGUCUUCGGUUGAGGGUAUAUGAGUACCUGCUCUCCCCUGCUAGAACCUCUGAACAAGCUCUCAUAUGUUGUAUGAUUUGUUUAUUUAAAAUGUCCAGAAGAGAGAGUCGGGUGGUAGCACAGUGGGUUAAGCACACAUGGUGCAAAGCGCAAAACC